UUCCUGUACUGCUGGAACGGUUCUACAAGCACGUUUGUACAAUCGUUAUUAAACCGUUUUGGUGUGACCAGUAAAACCAGAAACAUCAGGAUGGUGUUUGUUCUUCAGCUUAACAGCUGUUAUUAUCCCGGCUGCGGUUCUGUGCUGUUGACCCACACCGAGUCGGAUCCUGAUAAGAGUUUAAUCAUCAGACUGAAGUGUAGCAGAACAUUAACUACAAUAUGUGGGCUAAAGUAUUGGGACUCGUCUUCUAAUUACUGAAUUCAUGUGUUUCAGCCUGAACAAUCGCAAUCGCUAACAAGUGAAAUUAAUCAAUUAUAUAAAGAAAAGAAAAUGCUUCUGACUUUGCAGCAACAGUUUAGGGAAGGUCCCUUUCUGUACCAGCCUGUGCACAAAGCGAGCUUAAUAAAGACAUGAAGAAAAGCUCCAUAUAAAAUCAAGAAACUCCAGUGUCCUGUCCUCAGCCCCAUUCAACAGCUGUAAAAUGAACCGGAACAGCCAUACAAAUGCUCAUCUUCUGACUGAACGGUAGGGCUGCGACGAUUAGUCGGCGUAAUCGAUGACGUCGACUAUAAAAAUUUGUCGGCGUGGAAUUUAGUUGUCGACGAGUCGUUAGUAUUGCAAUGCACUAAAGGGACUGCAGGGGGCGCAGCAUCGCUUCCAUGGCGCAGCGGCAAAGAUAAAGAGACCGAAACUUUCUAAAGUAUUUCAGCCAAAAUAACCCAAAGAAACGAGCUGGACGCAGACACUACAGAGCAGAGUUAUGUUUUCACACCAGCAACACGGUGAAACGCCUUGCAGCGUUAUUACGCAGUAAGCAAUGGAGUGUUGAUGAGAAGAGAAGGGGUUCAUGCACCCCUCAGAUGGCUGAGAUCUUCACAGACAGCAUUCACACGUUUCUCAACCACAUGUUAUAAAUGUUUUUUGACUUCCAGAGUGAUAACUUCUGAAACAUAACAGUUUCUAAUGCUGUCCAAAGCUUUCUUAUUAAAUUGAAUUUUUUUUAUUGUGA